rnacentral:rRNA from 1 species
CGGGCAGACUAGAGUGAUGUAGGGGAGACUGGAAUUCCUGGUGUAGCGGUGAAAUGCGCAGAUAUCAGGAGGAACACCGAUGGCGAAGGCAGGUCUCUGGGCAUUAACUGACGCUGAGGAGCGAAAGCAUGGGGAGCGAACAGGAUUAGAUACCCUGGUAGUCCAUGCCGUAAACGUUGGGCACUAGGUGUGGGGGACAUUCCACGUUUUCCGCGCCGUAGCUAACGCAUUAAGUGCCCCGCCUGGGGAGUACGGCCGCAAGGCUAAAACUCAAAGGAAUUGACGGGGGCCCGCACAAGCGGCGGAGCAUGCGGAUUAAUUCGAUGCAACGCGAAGAACCUUACCAAGGCUUGACAUGGACCGGAUCGCCGCAGAAAUGUGGUUUCUCCUUUUGGGGCCGGUUCACAGGUGGUGCAUGGUUGUCGUCAGCUCGUGUCGUGAGAUGUUGGGUUAAGUCCCGCAACGAGCGCAACCCUCGUUCCAUGUUGCCAGCACGUGAUGGUGGGGACUCAUGGGAGACUGCCGGGGUCAACUCGGAGGAAGGUGGGGACGACGUCAAAUCAUCAUGCCCCUUAUGUCUUGGGCUUCACGCAUGCUACAAUGGCCGGUACAAAGGGUUGCGAUACUGUGAGGUGGAGCUAAUCCCAAAAAGCCGGUCUCAGUUCGGAUUGGGGUCUGCAACUCGACCCCAUGAAGUCGGAGUCGCUAGUAAUCGCAGAUCAGCAACGCUGCGGUGAAUACGUUCCCGGGCCUUGUACACACCGCCCGUCAAGUCACGAAAGUUGGUAACACCCGAAGCCGGUGGCCUAACCCCUUGUGGGAGGGA